GGGGGUUGCAGCUUGGAGCCCGAAGACGGCCGGAGCUGAAACCGGUCACUAGAGACUGUCCGAACUGGGCAGAGGAGGGGGAAGCGCCCAGAGAGUGGGGCAGACCUGCAGGACAUUUUUAUUAGCACUUGGAGGAUCUCCUGGCAUUGGGCUACCCUAUUCAAGGAUAACAGCCUCAGUGGACAGUGUGGCCACCUCAGUGAUGCAAGGGAAAUGGCUGAGGCCAGAGUGAAGGUUGAAAUGGAUAAAUAAAACAGAAGUGAAGGCAAUUUUGAAGAUUUGAAUUAAAAAAAAAAAAACAAAACAAAACCCAAAAAACGUUGACAGGCAGGUAUGUGGACCAAAUGACCCAGGGAUUCUCCAUUAAGAUUAAAGAACUUCCUGUAUGUUUCCAGUUCUCAAAUAU